rnacentral:rRNA from 1 species
UACGUAGGGACCGAGCGUUGUCCGGAAUCAUUGGGCGUAAAGAGCGUGUAGGCGGCCUUUUAAGUCCUGCGUGAAAUCCUGCGGCUCAACCGCAGACGGUCGUGGGAAACUGGAAGGCUAGAGUGCGGGAGAGGAGAGUGGAAUUCCCGGUGUAGCGGUGAAAUGCGCAGAUAUCAGGAGGAACACCAAUGGCGAAGGCAGCUCGCUGGGACGUGACUGACGCUGAGACGCGAAAGCGUGGGGAGCAAACAGG